rnacentral:rRNA from 1 species
CAGUAGCCACGGGAACACGUAGGGUGCGAGCGUUAAUCGGAAUUACUGGGCGUAAAGCGUGCGCAGGCGGUUCGUUAAGACAGAUGUGAAAUCCCCGGGCUUAACCUGGGAACUGCAUUUGUGACUGGCGAGCUAGAGUAUGGCAGAGGGGGGUAGAAUUCCACGUGUAGCAGUGAAAUGCGUAGAGAUGUGGAGGAAUACCGAUGGCGAAGGCAGCCCCCUGGGCCAAUACUGACGCUCAUGCACGAAAGCGUGGGGAGCAAACAGGAUUAGAUACCCCCGUAGUCCCUGUCUCUUAUAC